GACCAAUCCUUCCCAUUCUUAUCUUUUGCAGAAAGGCCAUCCAAUAAUUUCUGUCUACUUUUAUCCCUCCAGCCAUCAUCUCCAUCUCUGCUUUCCAUUCAUUGAAGAGAGUUGGAUUCCCAGCAGCAUUGGCAACAACACUAGCCCCAUGUGCAGGAGGAUUUGAAUACAUUGGUCGUGCAAGCAUUUUCAGUUGGCUCUUAAUCCUUGCUGAGGCAUCUGCUGAUCAAUCCAAUCCAAUCCAAUCUGCAUACAAAUCCUUUAUUAGGCCAGAGCCAAGCAUCCAUAACAUACAAUUAUAACUGAUUACAUAAUAUACAAGAGCAACUACAUAGAUCAUAAUUAAAAUUAAAAAACCAAUAAAUUUACGGUCCCUAAAAUUAACAUAUGCCUUAUUGUUCAGAAAGAGAUUGGAUAUUUCCUUGUGAAACCGUGCAGUAACACUGCCACUUCCAAUCCUCACCUUUCCCAGCCAGAAAGUAGAAUAAGUAGCAAUGAUCAACACCAUAAACAUCCAUUUGCUUGCCAAAAAAAGAAAAUUU
rnacentral:misc_RNA from 1 species